UUUGACGCGUGCAUCCUAACCAAAAUUUUCCCCGCCCGCAUUCUUCUCUGUGGAAUCAUCUUCAUCUUAUCACCGCUUCCUCUCUUUUCGUUUGUGACUUUCUCCUCUUUUAGCUAUUCUGUACACCUAUCCCUUUCAUCCAAUCCUUACUAUAAAUUUCUAACUUCUAGAUUUGUUCUAAUAUCCACAACAUAUCUACAAUACUUCUUUACAUAGAGCACUGACUUUCUUCGACUUCUCUGCUUCUUACUUAAAAAGGGCGAUUUAAUAGACAAAUCUGAAUGUUUAUAUUGUUUGUUACUUCGGUGUCUCCUUCCUCUCUAUGAAAGAAUUACCAUUCUGAUUGAUUGUGCUCAUCCAGUAAGUUUCUGUAUGCCCGCUCUAUGAUCCUCUGAAAAGUUCCGUUCCUUCCUCUUAUUUGCCAAUAAAACUAAAUAAGCUCAGAUUUCCUGAGCUUUUUUAUAUUGUAGGUAAAGAAAUCUAUUUAAUGUUACCAAAGUUUGGAGUUUCAAAGGAUUAUUCUUUUAAUUCUUGGAUCAAAGUAAAAAAUAGAAAAAAGGACAAACAAGAUGGGGUUUGGUUGAGAAUUGAGUAAUAACUCACUCUAUAUUAUAUUAUUUUAAUAAGUAUAAAAUUUAAGCAUUUUGAAUUUCGUCUUAAGUAGUGUUGAAACGUAUAUUUGGAAAAAUAGAUUAAUAAGUCAAUACAUUAAAAGUUAUUAGGUCCAAGUGCGCGCAAAGUGGCCAAACACCAUAGCUAGAAGGGGAAAAAAAAGAGGAGAAAAUUAAGGGAUCACUGGAUUAUUCUUACCAAUAGUUAUCUGCUUUUAUUUUGUUUCUGCUUUAGACUUCCCAAUGGCAUGACUUGUGAGGUGGGAAAGAAGAAUGAUAUCAUGUAUGCUUUAUUGGAAGUUUGAAACCAAAUUCAACUGUUUUCUUGUUACAAAGAUUGGUUUUUGCAGAUUCCCUGAGUACUACAUGACCCCUCGAGUCUCAUAAUUUUAUUCAUUUGUCUACCAAAGCAGAGUCUCUCCAUAUUUAGCUUAUAAGAUUAUUUUUUUUGUGUAUUAGACAGAGAACAAUUUAUACGCUAAAUUCAAUUGAAUUUAACUUCUACUCUUAUUUGUUCGACUUAAUUUCCAUCUGAUUCUGCACUUAAUUCUACUGAUUUGUAACUUAUGUACUUCCUUCUUGUCAAUUGAAAAGUUAUGACAUCCUUAAAUUAUGACCAUUUUCUUUGCUCCGCUUUCUCUUUCUGGCAAUUUGUGUAUUUUGUACUGAACUUGUUGUAAUUUUCACCAUCUGAGGCCUUACAUUCGCAAUAUCUCCAAACGUCAUUAAGAAACUAGACUUGACAAAGUGGAGGAAAGUAGACAUUUUGAAUAUGCAUGUAUUUAGUUCAGUCAGAUUAAAAGUUCUGCAGCUACAUUAAGAACUGACUGUACGAACUGACACAUCAUAACUCUACGUGUCUCAUUUCUACAACUCAAUAAUGAUUACAUGCUAUCUGAAUACUUUCUUGCAUUACGUUUGGCAAUUCUUAGCUAACCACAACUAUUUUAUUGAAAUUUGUUGUGCUUUGUUAACUUGAGUUUUACAAAUGGUAAGUUGUUCGUUAGAGCAGCAGAAUAGAUUGACAUCAUUGCUUCCUUUAGAGAUAUUUGUGGUGUAAAUAUUAGAUGCUUGAUGUUCUAUAAUGGUAUUCUUCAUAAUCAUAUGUGUUCAUGACGAAAUAAAUAAAGUGAAAUAGUUGUGUCAUCUAUGGUCAGUAUCUCUUGCUAUUUUAUGGAAAAACUGUAUUUCUAUUGCUGCAUAAUGAUGUUUAGGACAAAUGCAGUACCAAUAGUUGCACCAAAAUCAGAUUAAUGGAUAUUCGACAAUCAAAAAAGUGCCCUCGCUCGGUGACGGGAGAUCAUGUUAAGAAUAGCAAACACCAUAAAAUUGAUGAUUCUGUAGCAAUGACCUUGAAAGAAGAAAAGUUGUCGCCUUUGGCUGGGAAAUAGUGAGAUAAAGAAAAAUUAUAUUUUUUACUAAUAAAAAGACUUGGCACAAGAAUAUUCUUUUUAAAUGUGCUUUCUUACUAUGGAGAGCUUUAAGGAAUAAUAUAACCUACAUGUUAAUCUCUUCUAAUAGAGCAUCAAAAUAUGAAGAAACUUAAUAAUCUUUUAUUAUCUAUUAAGACACGGAUUAUGUUUGAGACAUUCAACAUUCUGCCCAUACGUGAGUGAUAUUUUGUUAUACUUAUUUUAUUUGACUAUAUUCAAUUUUGUGACAACUGAUGAUCAUGAGAUGCGCUGAAAAAAUGAAUGGAAACUAAUGGAAUUAAGCUAGAUCCUAAUUUAUGAUUUUACUCUCUUUUGUUGCCUAUGUUAGUUAGAGCACAUGGUACUUCAAUGUUUCCAUUAGUUUGUCAUUUAUGGGAUGUUGAAGUUUGAUGAAAUAAGUGAAUGAAUGUAACUACACAACCUUCUAGUAUUGCGAAUAGCUCUAUCUAUACAUUGUUUUACCUCUCUAAAUUGCAGCCUAACUGCAUUUACUCUGAGUAAAUACUGUUAUCGUUAGGUAUUUUACCUCCCCUUUUGUAUUAUGAGAGAUUAGCGUUGGCAACUACACAUACGCUAAAAGUUGUUGAGUAGCCUGGCUAUGACCUGUGACAUAAGAACACUACAUCAUCUCUUCCCCUGUAUAUCUUUCUAUUUUUUCCUUUAGUUCUUGAUUAUUCAUUCUCCUGUUGGCAUCUAGAGAUAUUUUAUCUAUUUUUGUUCUAUUUGAAUUUGCUGUAAGCUCUCUGAAUUUUAGUUGGAGUGUGAGUUGUACAAAUAUACUUACUUUUGAAUAUAUGAAAUCAAAUUGCUAAACA